rnacentral:rRNA from 1 species
GAUGAACGCUGGCUACAGGCUUAACACAUGCAAGUCGAGGGGAAACGACGGGGAAGCUUGCUUCCCCGGGCGUCGACCGGCGCACGGGUGAGUAACGCGUAUCCAACCUGCCUCUGACUGAGGGAUAACCCGUCGAAAGUCGGCCUAAUACCUCAUGGUAUCGUCUGCGGGCAUCCAACGACGAUUAAAGAUUUCAUCGGUCAGGGAUGGGGAUGCGUCUGAUUAGCUUGUUGGCGGGGUAACGGCCCACCAAGGCUACGAUCAGUAGGGGUUCUGAGAGGAAGGUCCCCCACAUUGGAACUGAGACACGGGCCAAACGCCUACGGGAGGCAGCAGUGAGGAAUAUUGGUCAAUGGGCGAGAGCCUGAACCAGCCAAGUAGCGUGCAGGAAGACGGCCCUAUGGGUUGUAAACUGCUUUUAUGCGGGGAUAAAGUGAGGGACGUGUCCCUCAUUGCAGGUACCGCAUGAAUAAGGACCGGCUAAUUCCGUG